rnacentral:rRNA from 1 species
CAUCCUAAGGAACUCGGCAAAAUUCUACCGUAACUUCGGGAGAAGGUAGGCCGGCCCUCGUUAGAGACCUCGCGUCUCGAAGCGGGAGUUGGUUGCAGAGAAUCGGGGGUAGCGACUGUUUACCAAAAACACAGGACUCUGCUAAGUCGGAAGACGAAGUAUAGGGUCUGAUGCCUGCCCGGUGCCGGAAGGUUAAGGGGAGAUGUCAGUAGCAAUACGAAGCAUCGAACCGAAGCCCCGGUAAACGGCGGCCGUAACAAUAACGGUCCUAAGGUAGCGAAAUUCCUUGUCGGGUAAGUUCCGACCUGCACGAAUGGCAUAACGACUUCCCCACUGUCUCGGGAUGGGACUCAGCGAAGUAGCACUAGGGGUGAAGAUACCCUUUACGCGCGGCAAGACGGAAGGACCCCAUGAACCUUUACUGCAACUUGACACUGAUUUUCGGGCUUAAUUGCGUAGGAUAGGUGGGAGGCUUUGAUCCGGGGCUUUUGGGCUCUGGGGAGCCAAUGGUGAAAUACCACCCUGUUAAAUCUGGAAAUCUAACCUAGGCCCGUGAUCCGGGUCGGGGACAAUGUCUGGUGGGCAGUUUGACUGGGGCGGUCGCCUCCAAAAAAGUAACGGAGGCGCGCGAAGGUUCCCUCAGGCUGAUUGGAAACCAGCCGUAGAGUGUAAUGGCAUAAGGGAGCUUGACUGCGAGACUGACAGGUCGAGCAGGUACGAAAGUAGGUCAUAGUGAUCCGGUGGUACCGAAUGGAAGGGCCAUCGCUCAUCGGAUAAAAGGUACUCUGGGGAUAACAGGCUGAUCACGCCCAAGAGUUCACAUCGACGGCGUGGUUUGGCACCUCGAUGUCGGCUCAUCGCAUCCUGGGGCUGAAGUAGGUCCCAAGGGUUUGGCUGUUCGCCAAUUAAAGCGGUACGCGAGCUGGGUUCAGAACGUCGUGAGACAGUUCGGUCCCUAUCUGCCGUGUGCGCAGGAUUCUUGCGAGGACCUGCCCGUAGUACGAGAGGACCCGGGUGGACGGACCGCUGGUGUUCCGGUUGUCAUGCCAAUGGCAUCGCCGGGUAGCUAUGUCCGGAACAGAUAACCGCUGAAAGCAUCUAAGCGGGAAGCUGACCUCCAGAUUAGGAAUCCCGAGGCGUAAGCCUCCUAAAGACCCCUCGUAGACCACGAGGUUGAUAGGCCGGGUGUGGAAGCGCUGCAAAGCGUGGAGCUAACCGGUACUAAUCGGUCGUGCGGCUUGGUCAC